rnacentral:rRNA from 1 species
UACGUUCCCGGACCUUGUACACACCGCCCGUCAAGCCAUGGAAGUUGGGAGGACCUGAGGACAGUUGCUGUAAGGCGCUGUUUAGGGUUAAACCGAUGACUGGGGCU